CCUACGGGGGGCUGCAGUGGGGAAUAUUGGACAAUGGGGGGAACCCUGAUCCAGCCAUGCCGCGUGUGUGAAGAAGGUCCUCGGGUUGUAAAGCACUUUCAGUGAGGAAGAACGCCUGGUGGCUAAUCCCCAUCAGGAAAGACAUCACUCACAGAAGAAGCACCGGCUAACUCCGUGCCAGCAGCCGCGGUAAUACGGAGGGUGCGAGCGUUAAUCGGAAUUACUGGGCGUAAAGCGCGCGUAGUUGGCUGGAUAAGCCGGUUGUGAAAGCCCCGGGCUCAACCUAGGAACGGCAUCCGGAACUGUCAAGCUAGAGUGAAGGAGAGGAAGGUAGAAUUCCCGGUGUAGCGGUGAAAUGCGUAGAGAUCGGGAGGAAUACCAGUGGCGAAGGCGGCCUUCUGGACUGACACUGACACUGAGGUGCGAAAGCGUGGGUAGCAAACAGGAUUAGAUACCCCAGUAGUC
rnacentral:rRNA from 1 species